UGCUACAGCAUUAUAAAGGUGUGAAUCCACGUGGCUGUGGGCACACCCCAAGCCCCCAGCCAGGAUGAGGAAUGAGCAAGGAGCUUGUUUUCACCCGUCUGGCUCCUGUGGGACAUCAUCUCCUCCUGUUUCGCCUGUUGGCAUCGGUGGAGGCAGCAUGAGCUGGCAGCACAGCAGAUCUCCUCAGUGCAGCAUCAGAGCACAAAGUCCUCCCUCCUGAAGCUCAGAGGAGAUCCAGUUACCACCUCAGCUGCCCUCUUCCAAGGACAAUUCACUGCCAAAGCUCACAAGUCCAAACCCAGGCUCUUCAGCAGUAUUCCUGUAGCUGCAGACAGUGCUGAGGCUUUCUCACAUUCUGCUGGCAGGAGAAGCUGUAGCUAUAAGCUGAAUUCCAAGUGCAGUAAAUCCUGCUGAAGACUCCUGAGUUACAUGCAGGAAGGAGAUGAUGUGUGGUGUGUGUACAAUUUGCUGGGAAAGCAGUGACUGCUCAUCAGCCUGGAGUCAUGGAUGGGGCUGUGAAUGAGAUCAGCAGCAUGGGAAAUUCAGGCAA